ACCCGCUGACUUAAGCAUUAU
rnacentral:rRNA from 1 species